CCUACGGGGGGCAGCAGUGAGGAAUAUUGGUCAAUGGGCGCGAGCCUGAACCAGCCAAGUCGCGUGAGGGAGGACGGCCCUACGGGUUGUAAACCUCUUUUGCCGGGGAGCAACGGGCGCCACGUGUGGCGUCACUGAGAGUACCCGGCGUAAAAGCAUCGGCUAACUCCGUGCCAGCAGCCGCGGUAAUACGGGGGAUGCGAGCGUUAUCCGGAUUCAUUGGGUUUAAAGGGUGUGUAGGCGGAGCGUUAAGUCAGUGGUCAAAUUGAGGGGCUCAACCCCUUCCCGCCAUUGAAACUGGCGUUCUUGAGUGGAAGAGAAGUAUGCGGAAUGCGUGGUGUAGCGGUGAAAUGCAUAGAUAUCACGCAGAACCCCGAUUGCGAAGGCAGUUCACUGGACUUCAACUGACACUGAGGCUCGAAAGUGUGGGUAUCAAACAGGAUUAGAUACCCCGGUAGUC
rnacentral:rRNA from 1 species